rnacentral:lncRNA from 1 species
AUGAACAAGACAAGGUUGCUAAGCGAAGAAUAUUUGUCUCUAGGCCUGGCUGUCUACCCUGCUCACCUUUCUGGCCUAAGGAUGCCAAGGAACAUGCAACACAGCUUGGACUGUUUGCCCCCCUCCACUAACUUUUAUAAGCAUUGUUUCAGAAGUCUCUGCAAGAGCAAUUGGAGCUUGGGAGGGGAAAUCACAGAAGCACCAGCAUUGUUUGGAUCUUGGCCAAUUAUGGGCAGUUACAAACAUCCGACUUACAAACAAUUCGUAAUUAAGAACAGAGGAGAUUCAAAGCGGUGUCCUGGAAGAUUAAACUCCAUGAUCAACUUAGAGUAG